rnacentral:rRNA from 1 species
GACAGAGGUGCCAAGCGUUAGGCGGAAUCACUGGGCUUAAAGCGUGUGUAGGCGGAAGAGUAAGUACCUUGUGAAAUCCCACGGCUCACCCGUGGAACCGCUGGGUAUACUGCUCUUCUUGGGCCACUCAGGGGCGACUGGAACAAGCGGUGGAGCGGUGAAAUGCGUAGAUAUCGCUUGGAACGCCGAAGGUGAAAACAGGUCGCUGGGAGUGCGCCGACGCUGAGACACGAAAGCCAGGGGAGCAAACGGG